ensembl:lncRNA
UGUGUCAUUUGGGAUAUUAUUCUUCUGAAAUGUUAAUUCCAAACUAUUUACUUCAGCAAACCAUCAAGUUAUUUUAAAGUCUUUUUUUGUUUGUUCUUCAGGUGUGUUCGGUGAGUUGUCUCAGUGAUGGAGGGACAUUCAGUCUUCAUAAAAGGAUGCUAAUGAUGUGAUUCAGUGGAUGUUCAGAUAUAAAAGCAUAGCUAAAAUGUGCGUAACAGAUGGAAGAAUUACUGUAAAUGAUGUUCUUGACGGAGAUUCAGAGACAGACUGAAGCUGGAUCUCUGACCAUCACAAACAGCACAAUAAAACACACUGGCAUUUCUGAAGAACAGAACAACAAUGAGAGAAAGAGUUAUAUUUCCACUGUUAAUGCUCGUCUGCUUGUUUCUGUCACCAGCACAGACUGUCCUUCAUCAUCAUCAUCAGGAUCUCAUCCCAAUCCCAUCAGCAAGCAGACUCAACAUCUGGACAUCAGUGAAUUCUGUCACACAUGUUCAGACUCUGAACACUGUUGUGGUUCUACUGAAGCUGUGAUCCGAUUGGUCCUCUCUGCUCUGGUGGGCGUGGCUACUGUCAUUCUUCUGGUUUAUGACAUCAGAUCCAGAAGAGCUGAACAGGAUGAAGCACAUAUUCACACAUCAGUUACAUGAAUAAUGAUGUAAUUUCUCAUAAGAUAUUGCAUAUAUGAAUAUUUGUGAGAUUUAUUAAUUUAUUCCUUUAUGUGUUCAUUUUUCUCAGGAAGUAUUGAAAUCUAAAGCAGAAUGCUGAACUUUAAAGGUUCUUCAAGUGUGUUUUAGUGUCUUUGUCAUAAUAAAUAAUGAUGAUUAUUUGAGCUGGCA